rnacentral:rRNA from 1 species
GAACGAGGAUAUAUCCUUCGGGGUAUAAGCCGAGUGGCGCAAGGGUGAGUAAUGCAUAGAUUACCUGCCUCUAGGAUAAGGACAACUUUGUGAAAACGAAGCUAAUACUUAAUAAUACAAAAGAAAAUAAUUUUCUUUUGUCAAUGGGAGGGUAGCAAUACCUUUUGCCUAGAGAGGGGUUUAUGUCCUAUCAGCUUGUUGGUGGGGUAAUGGCCUACCAAGGCGAAGACGGGUAGCCGGUCUUAGAGGAUGGUCGGCCGCACUGGGACUGAGACACUGCCCAGACUUCUACGGAAGGCUGCAGUCGAGAAUCUUUCGCAAUGCCCGAAAGGGUGACGAAGCGACGCCGCGUGAGUGAGGAAGGCCUUAGGGUUGUAAAGCUCUGUCAGGAGUUAAGAAAUAUAAGUGUGUUAAUACCACAUUUAUUUGACGAAGGCUCCAAAGGAAGCCACGGCUAACUCUGUGCCAGCAGCCGCGGUAAUACAGAGGUGGCAAGCGUUGUUCGGAAUUAUUGGGCGUAAAGAGCACGUAGGUGGGUUUGUAAGUCAGAUGUGAAAGCCUUCUGUUCAACGGAAGAAUUGCAUCUGAAACUGCAAAUCUUGAGUGUAGGAGGGGAGAAUGGAACUUCUGGUGGAGCGGUGAAAUGCGUAGAUAUCAGAAGGAACGCCGGCGGCGAAAGCGAUUCUCUGGCCUAUUACUGACACUCAGUGUGCGAAAGCUAGGGGAGCAAACGGGAUUAGAUACCCCGGUAGUCCUAGCCGUAAACGAUGGGCACUAAGUAGAGGGGAUUACCGAUGUUCUCUCUGCCGUAGCUAACGCAUUAAGUGCCCCGCCUGGGGAGUACGGCCGCAAGGCUAAAACUCAAAAGAAUUGACGGGGGCUCGCACAAGCGGUGGAGCAUGUGGCUUAAUUCGAUGCAACGCGAAAAACCUUACCGGGGCUUGACAUGGUAGAAGUAGGAACCCGAAAGGGUAACGAACGGUAUCCAGUCCGUAGCUAUCACAGGUGUUGCAUGGCUGUCGUCAGCUCGUGUCGUGAGACGUUGGGUUAAGUCCCCUAACGAGCGAAACCCUUGUUUUUAGUUACCAGCGGGUUAUGCCGGGUACUCUAGAGAGACUGCCGUCGUCAAGACGGAGGAAGGUGGGGAUGACGUCAAGUCAUCAUGGCCCUUAUGCCCCGGGCUGCACACGUGCUACAAUGGUCGGUACAAACGGAAGCGAAGCCGAGAGGUGAAGCGAAUCCUAAAAAGCCGAUCUCAGUUCGGAUUGGAGGCUGAAAUUCGCCUCCAUGAAGUUGGAAUCGCUAGUAAUCGCGGAUCAGCAAUGCCGCGGUGAAUAUGUUCCCGAGCCUUGUACACACCGCCCGUCAAGCCACCCAAGCAGGAUGCACCCGAAAACAUUAUAUCUAACCAGGGCAACUUGGAGGAAAAUGUUGAAGGAGUGUUUUGUGAGGAGGACU